UCAAAUUUGAGGGACAUUUUUGCAAAUUUUCAUUUGAACUGGAAGGUGGGGAAGUUGCGACAUCUUUUUCCAUACAGAGGGAAUACUAUAACAUACCGUUUACCCAUUGUUCACCGCCCACUCAAUAUGGACCGUCCGAUGAAAAUACUAUCAACGUCCUGGAUUAAUCCUCCGGAUGAAUGCUCUGCUCCACGCCGCCGCUGCACGAUCGCGGCAGUUCCAAGCAAAAAACCCGGGUCGCCCCUCCUCCUUCCCCUCUCCCCAAAUUCCACACUUCCUCGCCGCUGCUUUUGGUGCGCCGCCUUCUCCUUUCUAGCUUCCCCUGGCAUCGCUGGAGAUAAUCUUUGUGGAGAGCGCCACGCGGCUUGAUCUCGUCGAUGACCUGCAACUGGUGGCCGGCGGCGACGGGCAGAGUUAGAAAGGGGCGGCGAGGUGAUGAGGGGAGAUGAGGAUGCGGCAGAAGGCAUCCCGUCCCGCAGUCCAGCGGUUCUUCUCCCAGCGACGGAACUCACCAAUCCUCCAUUUUCUCUACCCGCGCGGGCGCCCGGCCCAGCGGUUCCAACCCCGGAAUUCUUCUCACGCUCGGGGUAUGGCGCGCAGGAGGAAUGUCGCGGCGGGGCGGCCUCACAGGCCCUGGUUGCGGUGGUCUCCGAGAGGGGGCUGGAGUACUUCCACGGUGUUCGCCUUCGUAGAUCACUGGCGCGGCCUUGGCACGGCGGCCGGCGCCGCCCACGCGGCUGCCUUCUCCCUAAUCAUCGCCGCCUGCGUCUGUGUUUGGUUGUCCAACAGCGACCUUCUCCUAGGCACGCGCACCAAAGAGGGUCAGAUCGAUUUUGAGGCUUGACAAGAUGGAUAAUGUUAGUCAGAAAUUUCAACAUCGACAAAAUUGUUUAAUCAUGCAUUUUCUGUGUGUACAACAAAUCUGAAGACCCAAAGCUUUAUUGCAAUGUUCCAACCAUGACCUGACAAACAUCUGAAGAUCUAAGCAAGCCAUGACCUUUUUUUCUUGAUCUCAACGGUCAGGCUCUGAUUGGCCCCUCUCCCGUAGGAGCAGUGAACAACAAGAUGUCAAGGAAAACGAGGUACUCUACUACAACCAUACGUUGCAAGUUACACAGUCCUUGGUGCAUCAAACUUUUGAUAGAACCUAAGUCGUAUUGGUGAAGUACCUGGGAGAUGCCUUAUAAACUUUCUGUAUUCAUCUUGACUCGUCAUUGGUGCAUCAAACUUUUGCUAUGCUCAUUUCAUUACGGCUUGCAUUUUCUUGAGAAUACUUUGUGUAUUCAUCUUUGAUUAUAAACUAAGAAUUCACCUUCAUUACCAUUUAUUUGUUGGUCAGAGGAUAAAUUGAGUUUGACCCGGUACCAACAUGGAUUUUCUUGUAAUCUAUUGCUACACACACACACACACACACACACACACACACACACACACACGUAUAACUGAACUCCCUACAACUUAUCCAAAGAAAUGAUUUAUCUAAGAACAUCUGAUGAUGGAUUGUAUACAUAUUUGUCACAUCUGAUCCAAGUAACUACAAAGUAAAGACAAUACUACCAAUAUAAACGUGCACCGAGGAUUUCGUCCCUGCAGGAUUUACUUUGCAAUUCGAAGUGAUUUGACUGAUUGCAGCCCAGAUUAUUGAACAAUGGAGACCAGUUUGAGAAUAGCAGCAUGGUACUUUGAUUGGCUUUUCACUCACUUCUAAAUACCUCCUGACUCGUCAAAAGAUUUAAAUUAACAAACUUGUGGAUUACAUAUAUGAACCUAUUGAUGAAAUAUGGUGAGAGAUGCUCCACACAUUGAUUAGAAUAUCUCGAUGAGGGUACAACAAUGUAGUACUUUCUAAAUGUUAUGUUUAGUUCUUCUCUACUUUUCCUUCCUCAAAUUCUGCAAUUUUAAUUUUUGGUAUAUUAUCUAACUGGACUUGUAUACUUCACUGCAGAGAAAAGGAGAAAAAUUGGAUGCAAGCCUUUUAUACCUUGUUUUCACUUCGUGUUUUGGUUUUACCCCUCCAUUUCUUUUCCUAUAAUGGUAGAGGUUGUAACAAUCACACAUGAAUAGAUAUGCAGGUUUCCUUAGUGUGUCUUUCUCUUCAGUGAUCUCUUACACUAUUUAUUCCUUAUUUUCUUACUUUCAGUUAUGCUUGUGUUUCUCUUCAGUGAUCUCUUACACUAUUUAUUCCUUAUUUUCUUACUUUCAGUUAUGCUUCAAUGAUCCUCGUGCAGACAAACAUCAACAAGAGGUUUGUUGGAGAAGGUCAUGCAUGAGAGCACUGUUGGUAUUCAUCUUCUAAGUUUAAGUCUGUACGUUACGUCAUUUGGUCAAAAUUGUAUUACAUCUGAUAUAUUUCUUCAUGUGAUCGUUAUGUGAGGAGCAUGCAAUGCAAGAUAAGAGUUCCGUUUAAUUCGCAA